rnacentral:rRNA from 1 species
GACGAAUGCUGGCGGCGUACCUAAUACAUGCAAGUUGAGCGAUGAAGAUUGGUGCUUGCACCAAUUUGAAGAGCAGCGAACGGGUGAGUAACGCGUGGGGAAUCUGCCUUUGAGCGGGGGACAACAUUUGGAAACGAAUGCUAAUACCGCAUAACAACUUUAAACAUAAGUUUUAAGUUUGAAAGAUGCAAUUGCAUCACUCAAAGAUGAUCUCGCGGUGUAGUAGCUAGUUGGUGAGGUAAAGGCUCACCAAGGCGAUGAUACAUAGCCGACCUGAGAGGGUGAUCGGCCACAUUGGGACUGAGACACGGCCGAAACUCCUACGGGAGGCAGCAGUAGGGAAUCUUCGGCAAUGGACGAAAGUCUGACCGAGCAACGCCGCGUGAGUGAAGAAGGUUUUCGGAUCGUAAAACUCUGUUGGUAGAGAAGAACGUUGGUGAGAGUGGAAAGCUCAUCAAGUGACGGUAACUACCCAGAAAGGGACGGCUAACUACGUGCCAGCCGCCGCAGUAA